CAUGUACUCCCUCCAUUCCAAAAUUCUUGUCUUAGAUUUGUCUACAUAUGGAUGUAGUUAUUCAUAUUUUAGUGUUAGAUACAUCUGUAUCUAGAUAAAUUUAAGACAAGAAUUUUAAGACGGAGGGGGUAUAUA
rfam:Triticum aestivum genome assembly, contig: Triticum_aestivum_CS42_TGACv1_scaffold_081812_1DS